GAUGAAGAACGUAGUGAAAUGCGAUACUUGGUGUGAAUUGCAGAAUCCCGUGAACCAUCGAGUCUUUGAACGCAAGUUGCGCCCGAAGCCAUUAGGCCGAGGGCACGCCUGCCUGGGCGUCACACGUCGUUGCCCCCCCAUCUACUCCUUCGGGAUUGCGGGGGGCGGAUGAUGGCCUCCCGUGCGCCUCGCCGCGCGGUUGGCAUACAUGCCAAGUCCUCGGCGACACACGCCACGACAAUCGGUGGUUGCGAAACCUCGGUUGCCCGUCGUGUGCGGUCGUCGCGCAUCGAGGGCUCGAAAAAAUUGCCGGGUUCCGGCUCGGCUUUCAACGCGACCCCAGGUCAGGCGGGGUUACCCGCUGAAUUUAAGCAUAUCAAUAAGCGGAGGA
rnacentral:misc_RNA from 1 species